rnacentral:rRNA from 1 species
GACGAACGCUGGCGGCCCGUUUAACACAUGCAAGUCGAACGAGCGAGAGAGAGCUUGCUUUCUCGAGCGAGUGGCGAACGGGUGAGUAACGCGUGAGGAACCUGCCUCAAAGAGGGGGACAACAGUUGGAAACGACUGCUAAUACCGCAUAAGCCCACAGCUCGGCAUCGAGCAGAGGGAAAAGGAGUGGUCCGCUUUGAGAUGGCCUCGCGUCCGAUUAGCUAGUUGGUGAGGUAACGGCCCACCAAGGCGACGAUCGGUAGCCGGACUGAGAGGUUGAACGGCCACAUUGGGACUGAGACACGGCCCAGACUCCUACGGGAGGCAGCAGUGGGGAAUAUUGCACAAUGGGGGAAACCCUGAUGCAGCGACGCCGCGUGGAGGAAGAAGGUCUUCGGAUUGUAAACUCCUGUUGUUGAGGAAGAUAAUGACGGUACUCAACAAGGAAGUGACGGCUAACUACGUGCCAGCAGCCGCGGUAAAACGUAGGUCACAAGCGUUGUCCGGAAUUACUGGGUGUAAAGGGAGCGCAGGCGGGAAAGCAAGUUGGAAGUGAAAUCCAUGGGCUCAACCCAUGAACUGCUUUCAAAACUGUUUUUCUUGAGUAGUGCAGAGGUAGGCGGAAUUCCCGGUGUAGCGGUGGAAUGCGUAGAUAUCGGGAGGAACACCAGUGGCGAAGGCGGCCUACUGGGCACCAACUGACGCUGAGGCUCGAAAGUGUGGGUAGCAAACA